ensembl:snRNA U6 U6 spliceosomal RNA
AUGCUGACUUUGGCAGCACAUAUACUAAAAUUGAAACAAUACAGAGAGGAUUAGGAUGACUCCUGAGCAAGGGUGAAGCCCAAAUUCAUGAAGCAUUCCAUAUUAAA